UACGUAGGGGGCAAGCGUUGUCCGGAAUCAUUGGGCGUAAAGGGCGUGUAGGCGGCCCGAUAAGUCCGCUGUGAAAGUCCAGGGCUCAACCCUGGAAUGCCAGUGGAAACUGUCGGGCUGGAGUCCGGAAGAGGCGAGUGGAAUUCCUGGUGUAGCGGUGAAAUGCGCAGAUAUCAGGAGGAACACCAAUGGCGAAGGCAGCUCGCUGGGACGGUACUGACGCUGAGACGCGAAAGCGUGGGGAGCAAACAGG
rnacentral:rRNA from 1 species